rnacentral:rRNA from 1 species
CAGUCGCCGCGGUAAAACGUAGGGUGCAAGCGUUAAUCGGAAUUACUGGGCGUAAAGCGUGCGCAGGCGGUUAUAUAAGACAGAUGUGAAAUCCCCGGGCUCAACCUGGGAACUGCAUUUGUGACUGUAUAGCUAGAGUACGGCAGAGGGGGAUGGAAUUCCGCGUGUAGCAGUGAAAUGCGUAGAUAUGCGGAGGAACACCGAUGGCGAAGGCAAUCCCCUGGGCCUGUACUGACGCUCAUGCACGAAAGCGUGGGGAGCAAACAGGAUUAGAUACCCGCGUAGUCCCUGUCUCUUAUAC